CACCUUUCAUGUGCCAGGUAAUGUACAUGCAGUUUGCCAUUUCAUUCCCAUUUUACAGAUGAGGAAACCAAGGCCCAACUCAUAUCAGAGUUACAGAGCAGCUAAGAUGCAAAGUUGGGAUUCCAGCCCAGGUUCACUUGGCUCAAAGGCUGUUGCUGUUGAAGUCGCCUACCUGCCUCUUCGGACGCUCUUUGGGAGAGGUGUCGUCUUUGUGGGCAUGUGACCUGGGCUCUGCACUCUGAAGGAACCUGCACCUGGUUUAAUACUCAGCUAUCAUCUUGAAAUUCUUACUAGUUUUUUAUUUUUAAAUUUUUAUUGUGGUAAUAUAUAUACAACAGAACUUUCCCCGUUUAACCACUUUCAAGUAUACAGCCCAGUGGUGUUAAUUCCUUUCACAACGUUGUGCUUUUAUCUUAAUAGUUUUUGAACAAGAGGCCCGCCAUUUCAUUUCCAUGGAGCCCUGCAGAUGACGUGGCCAGUGUUGGGUCUCCACACAAGAGGCCACAGGACCAGGUGCCUUUCACUUUGGAGGUUUUUGUCAAGUUUGUCACCCUUGGUCUCAUCUCAUCUAUAAAAUAAGGAGAGGGGGUGAAAGGAACAGGCCUCACCAGCUCUCACAUUUGCAGGGCCUGCGGAUGAGGGCUGGUGAAGACCGGCGGUAGAAAGAAGCACCCUUAUGAAGAAUGGGCCUGGGACUCCCCCAGGGCAGGCCUGGGACCUCACGGAGCUUCGGAAUCACUCGGAGGUUCUGGAGACAAAGAAAGGGGACACAGGAACCCUCUGGGCUGUCGUGGGUCGUGGGCCCCUCACUACAGCUAUUAGUCACAGGAAGUGGCUGAGGAGUUGUUGACAUAUAUAAUCGUGGCUCUUUGAUGGUCAUAACUGGCUAGGAGGUACAACUGGCUUUUUCUUUUUAAACAAACACACUUGGACUAGUUUCAGUGUCUUCACCAGGGAGACUGUGCACUUACUCCGGAUGCUGCUGGAGGACCCUCGCUGGUGUUAGCUGCACCUGUGGUGGUGGAUGGUUCCGUGUGCCUGCAGACUCCUGCUCAUGGCCUCGCACCUCAGGAGGGGUGCAAUUUCUGGCAACAACCAAAGGUGAUCCUGAGCAAAGCCUGGGAUUGAGGCUGAUUGCUCACCGAGAACUUGAGGAGGGGGUUCGGCUCGGAGGCACUGGAGGUCGUACUUUAGAACAACUCUUUGCGAUGGGGCCUGGCAGUGGUGUAAACGAGGAGGAAGGCAGCUGGCUGGUGACUGUGCUGUGGAGCCUUGGACAUCACAAAACCUGCAAAAAAGAAGCUUCAAGCCAAGGGACAAAGCCAAGCAGGUUCCCCCGCCAAGGAUCUCACCCCAAUUAUUUCUGGAAGUCCCAUGGGGAUGGCUGUUGUGUACAUGUGAAUGCAGUCCUUCUGGCUCCCGUGUAGUGUUUAUUCUUCUCCUGCCUGGCUCCAGCCAAGUCUUGGAAACCCACAGAUACCUGGUGUUGUUUUAAACUCUGGGGAAGAAAACCUGGCCCUGUGGGCACGGAGCUCACAGCCUCAUGGGAAAUUCAGGCUCAUAAAUUGGCAAGUACCAUACAGUUUGUCUCUGGUUCAGAAAGAAUGCUUGCA